rnacentral:rRNA from 1 species
UACGUAGGGGGCAAGCGUUGUUCGGAAUUACUGGGCGUAAAGGGCGCGUAGGCGGCCUGCUAAGUCGAACGUGAAAUCCCCGGGCUCAACCCGGGAACUGCGUCCGAUACUGACAGGCUUGAAUCCGGGAGAGGGAUGUGGAAUUCCAGGUGUAGCGGUGAAAUGCGUAGAUAUCUGGAGGAACACCGGUGGCGAAGGCGGCAUCCUGGACCGGUAUUGACGCUGAUGCGCGAAAGCCAGGGGAGCAAACGGG